UGGGGAAUAUUGCACAAUGGGGGAAACCCUGAUGCAGCGACGCCGCGUGAACGAAGAAGGUAUUCGUAUCGUAAAGUUCUGUCCUAUGGGAAGAUAAUGACAGUACCAUAGAAGAAAGCUCCGGCUAAAUACGUGCCAGCAGCCGCGGUAAUACGUAUGGAGCGAGCGUUGUCCGGAAUUAUUUGGCGUAAAGGGUACGCAGGCGGUUUAAUAAGUCGAAUGUUAAAGAUCGGGGCUCAACCCCGCAAAGCAUUGGAAACUGAUAAACUUGAGUAGUGGAGAGGCAAGUAGAAUUCCUAGUGUAGUGGUGAAAUACGUAGAUAGUAGGAGGAAUACCAGUAGCGAAGGCGACUUUCUGGACACAAACUGACGCUGAGGUACGAAAGCGUGGGGAGCAAACAGG
rnacentral:rRNA from 1 species